AUUGAACGCUGGCGGCAGGCUUAACACAUGCAAGUCGAGCGGGGUGAUGGUGCUUGCACUAUCACUUAGCGGCGGACGGGUGAGUAAUGCUUAGGAAUCUGCCUAUUAGUGGGGGACAACAUCUCGAAAGGGAUGCUAAUACCGCAUACGUCCUACGGGAGAAAGCAGGGGAUCACUUGUGACCUUGCGCUAAUAGAUGAGCCUAAGUCGGAUUAGCUAGUUGGUGGGGUAAAGGCCUACCAAGGCGACGAUCUGGAGCGGGUCUGAGAGGAUAAGCAGACACACUGGGCCUGAGACACGGCCCAGACUCCUCCGGGAGGCAGCAGUGGGGAAUAUUGGACAAUGGGGGGAACCCUGAUCCAGCCAUGCCGCGUGUGUGAAGAAGGCCUUAUGGUUGUAAAGCACUUUAAGCGAGGAGGAGGCUCUUUUGGUUAAUACCCAAGAUGAGUGGACGUUACUCGCAGAAUAAGCACCGGCUAACUCUGUGCCAGCCGCCGCCGUAA
rnacentral:rRNA from 1 species